rnacentral:misc_RNA from 1 species
AAGUCGUAACAAGGUUUCCGUAGGUGAACCUGCGGAAGGAUCAUUAUUGAAUUUAAUGUAGAGUUGGUUGUAGCUGGCCUAAUUAAUAAUUUGGGCAUGUGCACACCUUCUCUUUCAUCCACACACACCUGUGCACCUGUGAGACAGAGUGGGAAUUUUAAUUUAAUUUAAUUGAACCCUCUGUCUACUUAAUUCACACAAACUCUAUUUAUUAUAAAAUGAAUGUAAUUGAUGUAACGCAUCUAAUACUAAGUUUCAACAACGGAUCUCUUGGCUCUC